rnacentral:rRNA from 1 species
AUUGAACGCUGGCGGCAGGCCUAACACAUGCAAGUCGAACGAGUGGCGGACGGGUGAGUAAUGUCUGGGAAACUGCCCGAUGGAGGGGGGUAAAUACUGGAAACGGUAGCUAAUACCGCAUAUCAUAGGAUGUGAGCAGAUGGGAUUGGCUAGUAGGUGGGGUAACGGCUCACCUAGGCGACGAUCCCUAGCUGGUCUGAGAGGAUGACCAGCCACACUGGAACUGAGACACGGUCCAGACUCCUACGGGAGGCAGCAGUGGGGAAUAUUGCACAAUGGGCGCAAGCCGGAUGCAGCCAUGCCGCGUGUAUGAAGAAGGCCUUCGGGUUGUAAAGUACUUUCAGCGAGGAGGCGUUACUCGCAGAAGAAGCACCGGCUAACUCCGUGCCAGCAGCCGCGGUAAUAC